CCACCUUUGACAUGUACGGAACCCUUUAGAGAUAGAGGGUGCUCGAAAGAGAGCCGUAACACAGGUGCUGCAUGGCUGUCGUCAGCUCGUGUCGUGAGAUGUUGGGUUAAGUCCCGCAACGAGCGCAACCCUUGUCAUUAGUUGCUACAUUCAGUUGGGCACUCUAAUGAGACUGCCGGUGACAAGCCGGAGGAAGUGGGGAUGACGUCAAGUCCUCAUGGCCCUUAUAGGUGGGGCUACACACGUCAUACAAUGGCUGGUACAAAGGGUUGCCAACCCGCGAGGGGGAGCCAAUCCCAUAAAGCCAGUCGUAGUCCGGAUCGUAGUCUGCAACUCGACUACGUGAAGUCGGAAUCGCUAGUAAUCGUGGAUCAGAAUGUCACGGUGAAUACGUUCCCGGGUCUU
rnacentral:rRNA from 1 species